UGAGCAAUCUGCCCUUCUCAUCGGAAUAAGCGUUGGAAACGACGUCUAAUGCCGAAUACGACCUCCUUUCGCAUGAUCGGAGGUGGAAAGCUCCGGCGGAGAAGGAUGAGCUCGCGGCCUAUCAGCUUGUUGGUGAGGUAAUAGCUCACCAAGGCGAUGACGGGUAGCCGGCCUGAGAGGGUGACCCGGCCACACGUGGGACUGAGACACGGCCCAGACCUCUACGGGA
rnacentral:rRNA from 1 species